rnacentral:lncRNA from 1 species
GUUUAGUAAGGGUAUAUUGAGUAAUUAAGUGGGUUUAUCAAGUAAAAUUUAAAAUUUUAAAAUUUUGAGAGUGGGUUAAUUUAGUAAAUAAGUUUAAUGAGUAGUUUGGUGAGUUUAAAAUCUAACCAUUUAUUUAGUUUAAUAAGUUAAGAUUAUUGCUUAUUUGGUAUUAACAUUCUAUUAAAUAUAAGAUUGAAAAAAUAAAAUUUGAAAUGGCAUAAUAAAACUUAAAAAUGAAAGAGAGAGAAUUCUAACAUAAUUUCAAGCUGCUAUAGAAUGAUGUUAAAUAUUUAGUAUUUGUUACCAUUGUAGAAUAUAUUUGUAUGCUAGCUAUUACUUUAUGGGUUUUUAGUAUUUAUAUAAUUAUAUAGAAUGAUGUUAACACAAACGUCAAAGGUUAAAAGGUUAUAAAUGUUGAGAAUGGUUUCAGACAAAAAGAAUGGGUAAUAUGAAGUAGCUUAAAAUUUUACUUUCACACAUAUUAGUAGUUUGUGAAGAAUUUAUCACAAUUAAUUGAUUUUGAAUUUAGUGAGGUUAGUAUUUGAGAAAGAUAUUCCCGACACUUAAGUUAUUGUUUGUUUAAGAUUAAGAAAAUAAGGUUUUCUUCUUCUAAGGGUGAAUAGUAUGUUUAAAGACCCAAAACCUCUUUUCCUAAAGAUGGGACUCUAUUUAUAAAAAAAAUAAAAUGGGUGACAUUAAAUUAGGAUUUUGUAUUAAAUCCUAGUUCUAAAGACAAGUGUCACCAUUUCAGAUUAAUACAUGUGUAUGUGGAUUAAUGUUGGAAAUUUGUUCACUAUUAUGCGUAUAUCCUUAUUUUCCUUUUUCCUAUGCUGAUAAUCAUGGUUUCCUUAGCUGAUAGGUCUAGAAUCACAUUGAACAUAAUUCCUCUUUCUAUUCUUAUGUUCCUUCAUAAUUUAUAUAGGAGGUCUAUUCAAAAUAUCAUCUUAUCUAGAAGAAAAACGCUAAGUGUAGAGAAAUAUGAGAAAAAAAUGAGAGAGAUAAAAAAUAAAAGGGAAGAGUUAGUGUGGGUGGGUAGAGAGAGAAGGCACAUUUCUCUCAUCUUUUUCUAUACCAAGCACAACUUUAUCUAGAAUGGUCCUCUCGGAGCUAUUUAAGGGGAACACAUGACAAUGUGUUCACUUGAGAAUCAGCUACCUAUAUUAUAUAUUAUAGAAUUUUAUUAUUUUCUGUUUUAUAUGAUCUCUAUGUGUGGUGAUGACAGAACUAAUAUUAAAUAACUAAAGAGCAAUAACCCUAUGGAAUAGCUAACUUAAUUAGUUAUAUGAAUCACAGUGGCAUAUAUCUCCCAGAUUCUUUCAGCAAUGCAACUUGUUAAUUAUACAAAGUCUUGCAUUCUUAAUUUAGAAGCUCCCCAAGUUACAAAAGUAGCUAGCUAGCUUUUGUUUGGAUUGGAGAUGCUCAACAUCAAUCGAUUCACCAAAUAAAGACUUUUAUGCAUAUGUACAUACGUACAUACAUACAUACACUUUAUAUUUAUAUAGGGUAGAUCAAGAGCCCUCUAAAAUUACUCUUAUUUUUACAUUAGAUUUAUGGUUAAUCAAUUAUUGAGAUCUAUUAUCACUAAUAUAUACAUAGGAAGUAUUAGUGAACUAGUGCUAUUAGCCCCCUAAAUGUGACUGAUUCGAGCUUUUACAAGAGCUCUUUAUUUUUCUUUUUUCUAUAAAAUAUGCAAUAAGGAUGCAUAUAUCUCCCCAAUUAGCAAGAGGACAUUUUAAAGUUAGUCUCAAUUGUUUUUUAGGUUGUACAAUAAAUAUACGUAUCUAAAUUCUUAAUAAAUAUAUCAAACUGUAGUAUAUAUAUACAUACUAUAAAAUAUGUCUCAUUUUUCAGUAAUGAUUUGUAUAUACUAAAUAAGUAUAUUUUUAUAGGUUUUUCUUAUUUAGUAAUUUUCUUAUUUAGAAGUAUUAUUAUUUAAGAAGUAAGUAGUUUUCUUUUAGGAUUUAACUUAUUUAAAGAAGAAUAGAACUUCUACAAGGAAAAGGAUUGUGGCUUAGAGGAAUACAACUUCUACAAAGAAAGAAACUUUACUUGCACUAUAAAUAAUCACUAUGUAUAGUGAGGUUGGGUUCAUUUGUUAAUCAAUCAGUUUUGAUAGGUCUAUUGAGAUAUUGAGUGUUAUUGAGCUUUUGGGUGUAAGAAAAAUACUAUAGUGAUUAUAAUAAUUUUUCACAUAAUUGAUUUUUCUCUCGUUGUCCUUGGUGCCCACUCAAUGCCUAUGUUGUGUGAUUGAUUUUAUUCUUCACCUAUACUUUCAAUUUAUUAUUUAUUUGAUACUUUUCCUUGUAGGAUCUUGAGUGGGAUUAAAAAUCCCUAAUAACGCAUAUUGUAACAAUUUAAAAAAAAAGUAAAUAUUAUCAUCUUCACAAGUCCAAUGUUAUUUUUUAAAAAAAUAAAACUCAAAAGACAUCCUAAAGUGGCUUAUUUAUUUAUUUAUAGUUCACAUAUAUUACAAUUUAAGGUCUAUUGGGAGUCUGAGUUUAUACACUAAUAAUAUAAGUCAAAGGUCUAAUAAGCAAAGCUUAGACAUCUAUAUAUUCAUAGUCUACAUAUACUACUCCCAUAUACUUUAACGAAAUAUCAACUCUUUUAGUCAUAUUUGUGGUAUUACUUUGUCCUUGGGGAUUGGAACUAGUGCCUUCAACUUUUGAGGCACCAGACACCAACCCACCAUUAGGCUUGGCAAAACUCGGGUUUGGUCCAGGUUUUGGUGUUGCUCGGGACCGAACUGGAUGAGUGAAAUGCAAGACCGGACCCGGGUUAAAACCCGAUUUUUUUAGGUGCGGGCCGGGCUCAAGCCCGGCACCUCGGGCCUAGGUUUUUUAUCCGGGUUUCUAAGCCCGCAUGUGAUAACUUCAAAUUUUUUCCUUCAAUUUUUUCUUUCAUUUCUCUAAUAAUGCAAAUUUUAAAAAAGAAAAUAGUCAAAUACAAAUAUAUAACAUACUAACAAUGCAAAUUUUACACAAAUAAUAAAUAAAUAUUGUUUCAAUCUACUUUCUAAUACCUAAA